AGGAUUAACGCUGGCGGCGUGCCUAACACAUGCAAGUCGAACGAGGUAGCAAUACCUAGUGGCAGACGGGUGAGUAACGCGUGGUCAACCUGCCCUUGAGCGGGGGAUAACUAGCCGAAAGGUUAGCUAAUACCGCAUACGUCUAGGAUGGCAUCAUCCAAAGAUAAAAGCCGCAAGGCACUCGAGGAGGGGACCGCGUCCCAUUAGUUAGUUGGUGGGGUAACGGCCUACCAAGACUCCGAUGGGUAGCUGGUUUGAGAGAGCGACCAGCCACACUGGGACUGAGAAACGGCCCAGACUCCUACGGGAGGCAGCAGUGAGGAAUUUUCCGCAAUGGGCGAAAGCCUGACGGAGCGACGCCGCGUGUGGGAAGAAGGCCUUCGGGUCGUAAACCACUGUCGAAGGGGACGAUAUUGACGGUACCCUUGGAGGAAGCCCCGGCUAACUACGCGCCAGCAGCCGC
rnacentral:rRNA from 1 species